rnacentral:rRNA from 1 species
UACGUAGGGUGCAAGCGUUGUCCGGAAUUAUUGGGCGUAAAGAGCUCGUAGGCGGUUUGUCGCGUCUGCUGUGAAAACUGGAGGCUCAACCUCCAGCCUGCAGUGGGUACGGGCAGACUAGAGUGCGGUAGGGGAGAUUGGAAUUCCUGGUGUAGCGGUGGAAUGCGCAGAUAUCAGGAGGAACACCGAUGGCGAAGGCAGAUCUCUGGUCCGGUACUGACGCUGAGGUGCGAAAGCGUGGGGAGCAAACAGG